rnacentral:lncRNA from 1 species
UUGUUUUAAAAAGCAUUUCGUUCUGAUGCAUUGGUUCGAUUAUCUGUGUUUUAUUUUAUAUAUUUUAUUUAUAAGUGUUUUGCCUGCGUGAAUGUAUGUGCACCAUGUGUGUGCCUGGUGCCCGUGGAUCCCUGGAACUGGGGUUACAGAUGGUUGUGAGCCACAGUGUGGGUGCUAGGAACUAAAACAGGGUCUUCUGUGAGAGCCUUAACCACUGAGCCAUCUCUCCAACCUUGCUACUUUCCUCCCCUCCCCACACUCCCCCCCCCCGUUUUUGAUGGUGUUGACAAUUAAAAAAAAAUUAGUGUUUUGUAAAGUGCCUUACUAUGAGGAUGUAUACUUUUUACGGUUGCAGCAAUAAAUUCAUCCACCGAUUAUGUCAUAGCCUUCAGAAUCCUGUCAUCUCCCCAGAUCUCCACCCUAAAACAUGGCAGCUGGAACUGGGCCUUCAACACAUUUCAUAUCCAAGCCACCAAAGUCGUGUAAUUCAAAGUACAGAGCCUUGGCAGUUUACAUCUCUAAAAGUAUUUGUCUAUUUCAUCUAUAAGUAGUCACCAAGUUUCUGGUCACAGAUUUUAUUUAUUU